AGCGUGAUGACUGAACUGCAUCACAAGAUGUCGCAGUUUACACAGUAAAGAAUCCGAGCUCAGCAGUUCAUGAAAGGCUAGAGAGAAAGGGAUACUGUUCUCCAUAUCAAAACUACCCAACUACCCCUGCAAGUGAGGUCCUGUAUUGAAUCUACAGCAACAAAGACCCUCAUUCUGCUUGACACUGGAGAUGUUGUCCUGGCUAGAGUGAGGUCUGUGUCCUGGGACAGAGCAGUGCCAGCCAGCAAGAGAUGAUCCAUGCAUGUUGGCAUAGUCUAGGAGCUGUUGCGAGCGCAGAUGAAAUGCAGCGGUGACCAGGCUGAAUCACAGCAGAACCUUGGGCCAAGCCGCCGCCGCCGCUCAGUCAGCGCUGGAUGUGCGAAACAGGUGUGACGCGUUUAAUGAGGACUAUCCCAGUGAAAAUUCAGGUUUUUGUAUCUCCAUCUUCUGAGGAAAUUUCUUCAGCUGGUCUUCUGCUCAUCCUUCAUCUUUACUAACAUUAAGUCUAUCCUUCACAUUUCCCAUAAAACUGUACAAUACUCCCUCACGGCUUAUUAACUGAAUAGCUCUCUUUAUCAAUCUUUUGCAAUCUGAUCUACUUGGACUGCUGUUCUCUCUCUCUCUCUCUCUCUCUCUCUCUCACUCUCUCUCUCUCUGUGUUUCUCA